rnacentral:rRNA from 1 species
UACAGAGGUCCCAAGCGUUGUUCGGAUUCACUGGGCGUAAAGGGUGCGCAGGUGGGUUGGCAAGUUCGAUGUGAAAGCUCAGGGCUUAACCCUGAAAUGGCAUUGAAUACUGUCGGGCUGGAGGUUUGGAGGGGGACUGGAAUUCUUGGUGUAGCAGUGAAAUGCGUAGAUAUCAAGAGGAACACCAGUGGCGAAGGCGAGUCCCUGGACAACACCUGACACUGAGGUACGAAAGCUAGGGGAGCAAACAGG